rnacentral:siRNA from 1 species
CAAUGGGCUGCCCAUGGGCAUGA